rnacentral:sRNA from 1 species
UUUUUUAUUAAUUAUUAUAGUUCAUCUCUCAUCUUUAUAUGAUUCUAUUUUUGCGAAAAAAUAAUAUCAUCGUUAUAAAAAAAUAAUUAGAGUUUUUUCGCAUAUGCCAUAAUUUGAAUUUUUUAAAACGAAUAUAAACUGUUCAAUACAUGAAAAAAUAUUAUAACGGGUCAAAAAUAGAUUUAAGAAAAUUUUCUACUGAGUACUGGGUCAUAAUUUGAAUAUUUAUAUUCAAUUUCAUAUAUAUUAUUUUAAAAAUUUAUAAUCUUAUAUACUACAAUAAUUAAUAACAUAUUAGAUUUUUUUAUGUGUAUGAUGUGAUUCAAUUUUCAAUACAAGCUGGAAAAUCCUAGAAUUGACGGGUUUAAAUCGAUAUUAAUACAAGAUGGUAUACUAGAGGUGAAACUCUAAAAUUAACAAUCAAAAUACAAGUGUAUAAUUUUAAACACUAAACAAUAUAAAUAAUAUCAACAAAACAUAUACAACUCGCAGUUUACUAUACAUUUAAAAUCAAAUAAAAUAAUAUCAUAUAUUUAUAAUCAUCUUUACAAUAAAAGUUUUUAGUUUAACUAAAAUAUAAGUCUACAUGCGGUAUACUGCAAGUUAAAAUUAUAAAUAAGCAGAUUACCAUCACUAUGUCUGUACCUUCUCACAUACACACCUAUCAAAAACUUAAAACCUUUCAAAACCUCUUGGUAUAUUCAAAUUAGGAUUCUUCAUUCAUGGAAUCAAGGGUUUUGGGAUGUCUUAUGAAAUGAUUUUGGCAGAAGAGGAUGUGAAAUUUUUUGAAGAAAAAGUAGUCAGCAAAACAUAUGUUUUUUUGGGAGCUUUUAGAUAAUUAAAUCAGAGAAUAGGGUUGGGCAUAUGAGUAACCCAUUCGAGUUCGGGUAGAACUCGUUCGGGUUUGGGAUUAAUGGGUAUAUGAUUUACUACCCAAUAGAAUAAUUCUAAAUAUUCGGUUCUGGUUAGGGUCGGAUCCAGUUGGGUUUGGGUCAGUUUGGAUAAAAAGUUUCAGACCCUAAAAAUACCCAAAAAAAAAUAGAAACAGGAAAUUUGUAUGUAGAUAGCGGGUCUCCAAACAAAAAA